UUCACUUCGACAUUAAAGAAUAUUAUGGCUAAGAUCAAGUGCAGUAUCUGUUGUUUCCAGUUUAAUAUCUGAUAUGUUCUCUAUUUGAGGACAAUAUAUUCAAUAGAUUUUUCCCAGUGUCUGUUGUUUAAAUGACAGAGGGAGAUCAGUGGGAUACUUAAAGCAA
rnacentral:snRNA from 1 species